rnacentral:ncRNA from 1 species
GGAUGGGCUCACGGCCUAUUAGCUAGUUGGUGAGGUAACGGCUCACCAAGGCGACGAUGCAUAGCCGACCUGAGAGGGUGAUCGGCCACACUGGGACUGAGACACGGCCCAGA